rnacentral:rRNA from 1 species
AACGAACGCUGGCGGCAUGCCUAACACAUGCAAGUCGAACGAGACCUUCGGGUCUAGUGGCGCACGGGUGCGUAACGCGUGGGAACCUGCCCUUAGGUUCGGAAUAACUCCCCGAAAGGGGUGCUAAUACCGGAUAAUGUCUUCGGACCAAAGAUUUAUCGCCUUUGGAUGGGCCCGCGUUGGAUUAGCUAGUUGGUAGGGUAAAAGCCUACCAAGGCGACGAUCCAUAGCUGGUCUGAGAGGAUGAUCAGCCACACUGGGACUGAGACACGGCCCAGACUCCUACGAGAGGCAGCGGUGGGGAAUAUAGGACAAUGGGCGAAAGCCUGAUCCAGCAAUGCCGCGUGAGUGAUGAAGGCCUUAGGGUUGUAAAGCGCUUUUACCCGGGAGGAUAAUGACAGUACCGGGAGAAUAAGCACCGGCUAACUCCGUG